GUCCCACAUCAACGGUUGUAAAGACGGUCCGGUGUGCAUACACUCAUUCACACUGUUCGCUAAUGGAUUGGGUCUCGCACUUGCGUCAAAUACCAUUCCCACCUUCGAACUGCUAGACUGUUCUCGGACGAUGGACUUAUGAGGCAUGUAGAAAACACGAGGUCCUGUUGGCUGGGAAGGUGCUGGCUCAAUGAUCUCUUUCUCUAGCUGGUCUUUCACAAUCUACUCAUAAGCCUCUCGAAGCCUUUUAUCAUGACUCAGUUUCCGUUCUAUGGUCUUCAACCGUUUCUUGCUGGGUUCCUCGUUAUUGUUGACUAGCUCUGCUCCCGGUAUCCACGGUACGCUCACUUCAUAUCUCCCGUCGUUUCGCGUUGUGAUGCUUUCUUGAAACUCUCGAUAGACAUCAAGCUGGUCACCUUCGCCCCGAUCCUCGAUCCCUAGCACGUCUAGGGAGUAUAGGCCUCAUACUCGUUUGUUUCUCUGGUGAACAUACAUGUUCCAUCUGCAUACUCCUUGCCACCAUGCACAACCCAACCAAAGGUUGUGCCCUCUACGAUUGGGUCAUCUGGUUCACCUUUGAUAAUACUCUCCGUCUUUAUCUGGCAGUAGACUGCG